UCCCAAACCCUAACGCACUCCUUCCCCCCUUCCUCGAACCCCUCUUCUCCCCGCCCCCGCCGCCGCUCACCGGAGCUCCCGCGCAUCCGCCACCCGGAGCAACUACUUCGCUCAAGGGCAGGAGGGGGACGACCCCGCGUUCGCCGCCUCUCUGCACCGCCGGCCAGAUCCAGAUCCUCCUCCUCGUGCCGCUCCCGGCGUCUUCAACGCCCGCCCGCCCGCACCAACCACCUCCUCCUCCUCCUGCUGCUCACGGCCUCCAAACAGACCAAAAGACGCCCGCUUCCCCGAUCCACAUGCCAACACCCACCGCAUCCCCUGCUCAUCACGCAAGGACGACGCGACGCAGACCUCACCUGCUGCAACGACGGAUUUUCCUGUUACCACUUGUCUUGAAUAUGGAGCGUGCUUUAUAGCUUAAUUGGCAGCAGGUUCAGGAAGACUUCCUCCACUCGGACGCUGGGUACAAGAACAACUGCAAUCGAUAGGGCAAACACCCUAGCUACCUUAUUAUGGUGUUAGAGGCCAAGGCGGCAGUGAUGGCGAGGAUGGGCGUCCAGUAGCAGCGGCUUCCACUGCUCAGAUGAUGAAUUUUAUUGUUGCCACUUGCCCUGAAUAUGGAGCGUUCUUGUUACCUGAUGAAUAAUGGGCGGCAGCUUCAGGACGACUUCCUCCACUCGGGAGGCUGGGGACAAGAACCACUGCAAUGGAUAGAUUGGAGAUGCUUUGGCUGUCUGAUGCAUGACUGGAGGGUGGAAGAAUAAGAAGUGAAAGCUGAACUCCUCUUGUUUGCGAAACCAGAAUUUGUAUUUGGUAGUCUGACUGACUGCUUACUGUGACUCCAAAUCUGGAAUGUUCCAGACCGGUUGUUUCAUUGCCAGAAGUUGUAAUGAUGUGCAAUGUUUGUUUAGCUAGACUUGUGAUGGGAGUAGGCUUGUGCUGUUGCACUUUUAUUGA